UACGAAGGGGGCUAGCGUUGUUCGGAAUUACUGGGCGUAAGGCGCACGUAGGCGGAUUGUUAAGUUAGGGGUGAAAUCCCCAGGCUCAACCUGGGAACUGCAUCCGAUACUGGAUGGCUUGAAUUCGGGAGAGGGAUGCAGAAUUCCAGGUGUAGCGGUGAAAUGCGUAGAUAUCUGGAGGAACACCGGUGGCGAAGGCGGGUCUCUGGGCAUUUCCUGACGCUGAGGCGCGAAAGCGUGGGGAGCAAACGGG
rnacentral:rRNA from 1 species